rnacentral:tRNA from 1 species
GAGGGUAUAGCUCAAGUGGUAGAGCACAUGCUUAGCACGUACGAGAUCCUGGAUUCAAUCCCCAGUACUUCCU